rnacentral:misc_RNA from 1 species
GAUGAAGAACGUAGCGAAAUGCGAUAAGUAAUGCGAAUUGCAGAAUUUCCGUGAAUCAUCGAAUCUUUGAACGCACAUUGCGCCCGCCAGUAUUCUGGCGGGCAUGCCUGUCCGAGCGUCAUUUCAACCCUCGAACCCCUCCGGGGGGUCGGCGUUGGGGACCUCGGGAGCCCCUAAGACGGGAUCCCGGCCCCGAAAUACAGUGGCGGUCUCGCCGCAGCCUCUCCUGCGCAGUAGUUUGCACAACUCGCACCGGGAGCGCGGCGCGUCCACGUCCGUAAAACACCCAACUUCUGAAAUGUUGACCUCGGAUCAGGUAGGAAUACCCGCUGAACUUAAGCAUAUCAAUAAGCGGAGGA